AGCCAGCUCCGACUCUGGCGGCGGUAGCGGCAGCACGGAGACUCGGACCGCCGAGCCCCGCCCCUUCCGCUUCCGUCUGGGCGCGCACGCCCCCGCCCGCACGUGACGUCACAUCCUUAGUAACCCUGGCAGCGGCCCUGGCGACCGAGUUCUUAAAGAGCCCUGCGCACGUGUCCCAACUCCUGGGAUUCUCCCUCAAACCUCAUCCCAUCCUGCUUCGGGCACUUCCUGGGGGGUAUAUGAGUGGGUUCUCCAACCUCGAGCCCCGCUAAUCUCCUGCCGCCGCAUAGUGGGCCUUUACGGCGGCCGUAAGUGAGCAGUUGGCGAGCCUGAGGGAGAGGAUUGUCCUCUUAGCCACGCUGCAGUGACGUCAGCCCUAGCCCACUGCUGGGUUCCUUGUGAAGGGGGAUUUAGCUGUGUUGGGGAGGUUGUCUGAUAUGGAAGGACCUUCCCAGUCCGAGGGGUACAGGACCCUGUCCUGGGAGGGUCUAAGUGAAGGAAGGAUAUGGCCCUGCCCUUGAGGGGUUGGAGGUGAUGGGAGUGCUGUGGCUCUGCCUUGGGGCCUGGUGUUUCCCCGGCUCGAACCACAGCCUCCUCCUCGCUUCUGCCACUCCUGAACGGGGAUUCGCGCGCCCCCCUUCGGAAUCACCCAGACUUCAUUUAACUAGUCUCGGGAGCCGAUCCACAGCGUCUCCCCGUGCGGCCGCUGGGUGGCACCAAUGUCUAACUAGCGGCCAGUGCUUCUGGCCUCACACCAAGUGGGGAAUCUUUCCCGGUGGUAGUGCUCUAGGACCGCUAGCAGGCCUUCCCCUUUCGUCUGGGGCCCCUUUUCUGGUCCUGGGCUCUAAGGACUCUUACAUUGAGCUUGAGCGACCCCAGCCACACACUUUCAUAUAUCCCUACCCACGCUUUGAUACCAGGAUAAAAGGCCGCGUUGCAGCCUAGGGCCGGGAUUAUCUCAGAUUAAAGGAUGCUCCGAUGGCGUGGGGGAUGGGAGAAGCUUCAACCACUUGCGUGAAGGGCGCCUCUUCCAGACUCCCCCAGAGUGGGCGUUUGGAGGGAAAAGGCUGGAGAGAAAGGAGUAAAGGUCUCUAAAUGGGGGCGCAGGGGGGAUGGGAGGGGAUUCCCCAGUCGGGGGAAGGGGAGGGGACACGUCCUGACAAAGCUCCUGCCCGCUGCCUCCCCUCCCCCUCACGCUUCAUUCAAACCGGCAAGGAGGCGGGCGGGGGCGGGGGAGUCCCCCUCUCCUCCUCCUCCCUCUCCAGCCCCGGCAGUCCAGCAUCUCAGCAGCCGUCACGGCCUGGGCUCGCGCGCGCACGGACCCACACCUCAGGUCUGACAAUCGCGCGUGCGCGCGCGCGCACACACACACACACACACACACACACACACACACCAGCAAACAACAAAGGGUCUGGACACCCCUGUCCCCUCCCGCCCCCCAGGCCGGAGAGGGCGGGGCAUCCCCUCCCCAGUCCCCCUGCAAGGAGGCGCUGGUCCCGGCCAACAUGGCCUCUGAAGCCCCUAAGGCGCGCUAGUUUGGAGGGAUGAAGAGGAGUUGCAGUGUCCUGUCAGUGGCCUGGACCCAGGACGAGAGGCCAAGAGAGACCCCUGAACCCAGCCAAGCCAACAUGCUGGGGGCUGACCUCCGACGCCCUCGCCGACGCCUCUCCACAGGCCCAGGCCUGGGCUGGACUGAGCCUGAGCCCUUGGACACUGGGGUCCCUCUGCCACCACGGCCCACCACGCUGCCACUGCUGAUCCCUCCGAGGAUUUCCAUCACCAAAGCUGACAGGUAGGCGGGAAGAGGACCAGGCUGGGAGACAGGGUGGAGGAACAGGGCCAGCUGGGUUAAGUCCAGCCACCAGCCACCAGCCCUUUCCUGGGCUACCAGCUCCUGGCUCCCUUUGUUUUGCAAAACUAGCUGAAACUUCUCUUGGACCCUGGUGGGUCAGGUUAUAAUGUCCUUCCUCCAAGAGGCACCUCUUGCAGCGUCUAGAAACCCCUUCUGCCAUUUUGCUGCUGCUUGAGUUAGCAAGGGGCAGGAUUUCUGAAAGGAUUUUCAACCCUCCAGUCCCCACGGUGGUCUCAUGAUUGGAAAGCUGGAAUAGGCUAGGGAGUAAGCCUCCCACGAGUCCGCUGUGCACCUCUGUUUCCCUUUCUGAGAGGAUGCAGUUUCUUCCAGGCCUUAAAAGGGGAUGGUGAAACCCUGGAGGAGGUCUGGAUGGGGCAUUUUUCUUUCUCCUGAGCCCAGCUUCACACUGCACUUUCUCAGCUGGGGUCCUUGGAGGGCACUUCAACCCCAAUCUUGGGCCAAGGAUGAAUCUGAAAGCCAGACAGCUGAGCUGGUCCUGGCUGCUGGCUGGGCCCCUGCCCCCACUGCCUCCCCAGGCCACUGUUCUCUGCAGCCUCGAUCUUCCAAGCCACCCCUUUAUCUACUCAGUUGGAGGGCUCCUGGGUGUCUGCUUUUUCAUGGUACAUGGUUCAUUUCCAGAUGGGAGAGGAAGUGACUGUCAUUCCCCCUUACUAACCACCCCCCAGCCCCCCAAAUAUCCCUCUGGCCUCUGCCUGGUUCAGGCCACAGCUUCAGCUACCAACUCUGGCCCACUGCCUUGGUCCUUCUUUGUUCUGCAAACCUUGCUGUGACCUUCCCCCUCCUCCCACCAUCACUUGUUACCCAUCCAGAGCUUUGGCCAACACAAGGGCUCCCCACCCACCAAGAAUUUGAUCCAGUCCAAGACCCUCGAUAAUCUGGGAAGGACUUGGCAUCCCCUGGAAGCUUUUUUGAGCGUACACUCAUGGGAAGGGUCCCUGAGAGAAGUGGGGGACACAGUUCUGGCCUCUGGUGCAUCCUGCGGCUGCUAAUGGGAGGGCGGUUCUGGCUCUGAGUACACCCACGCCCGGAGCCCCCUCUGGCGGGGAGAAAAGCGGCUGUGGGGGUUGGAGACUUAUUUUUUUUUUUUUAAAUAAGAGCAGUGCAGAGGGAGGGCGAUGGCAGACUGCACGGCCUGCCGCGGGGCGGGCGAGGGGGCCAUUGAGGGGGGCGCACAGGGGCGGGGUUUGGUUCUGCAGACGUGCACCCGAAGGGGUUAAGCCGAGCUCUCGUCCGCCAGGGGGAUGGGGCACAGGAGUGUCUGCGCUCCUCGAGCCCCGCGGCCACCACCACCAGGGCUUGGCCCGGGCCGGGGCGGGGAAAGCUGGGGGGAGGAUGCUCGGAUCCCGCUAGCUCCUCUGCUCGCUUGCUCCGCGCGGCGCUGGGGGAGGCGGGAGCGUGAGUCACGGCGACUCCCGAUUUAGGUGCCGGAAGGGGGGUUUUGCCCGCGGGGGCAGCGGGGAGGAGGCGCGGCUGUUUACUCGCCGGAAAAGGGCACAGGGGUGCUUCCCCUGGCUGUCCGGGACCUGCCUCAGUUUACCUCCUGCAGAAGCGCUUUAGAAGAGGCAGAGAUACACAGAGCGGUGGGCGGGCAAUCGGGGUAUCAGCCACCGGGUGUCCCCCUCGAGCUACACAGAACCAAAGGGACACACCCCAGAAACACCUCAAAUCGGCCCCAGGCCGACCACAGACACACACACACACCCCGACACAUUGACUCCCUCAGACACCACAAUCAAACGAAGGCUGAAUCGAAUGCACAACUCCGCAAGCGCGGACCGAUACAGUACACACCCAAUCGCGUGGGAACACAAGCACAGCCUCAGCCACCAGAACAGACCCUGUAGAGGCGCACACCCUCCAAACAGGCAGCACAUGUGCACACACAUCCUUCACCCAGACACGCAGAGACACAGCGAAAUCCAGAGAAACAGGCAGACCGCAGCAGCCAGCCACGUGCGCACACACACUUCGAGCAGACAACACAACACACACAACCCUCGGAAGAGGCCACGUGCGCGCACAUCCCGCCUCAGGCACACAUCAUCACCAUCCUACGACCCACCAAACAGGAGAUUCCCGGAACACCGUCGCUGCCCGUCGCAGGGACCGGGUCCGUGUCUCCGAGACCACGUCCCACAAGCCUCCCCCUGGCCAGGGGUAGCGGCGAAGACAAGGCAGCACUGGGCUCCACCCCCACCGUGAUGGACGGACUGACUGACACACCGGCAACCAGUCGGGUGUCUCCUUCACGAUCGGAUUAACCGUUUAACUCCUUCGUACCCAUGCGCGCCGCGGCUAGGCUGGGCGCUCUGGAGAGAGCCGAGUUCCGGAGCCCCCUCCCCGCGGGGAGCGGGACUCUACGUGGGCGGAGAGGGCCCCCCUCCUUGGGUGGCUGCCCCCCACUGGCCCGGA